rnacentral:sRNA from 1 species
GGGUGGUCUAAAGGUAGUAAGCCAGCUCAAAUGAUUGUUCACAGCCAGUUACAAAAUGAACUCCUCGUUCUAACUCCUUGUUCUACUCUUUCCCCCCAACUACUGCGCUUGACUAGUCCAAA